GACUCGAGCGCCAGCGAGAGAGCGUUGCCGCAGGCAACGACCCGAAGGGCGAAGCGCGCAGCGCUGAGUAAUCCUUCCCCCACCACCA
rnacentral:sRNA from 1 species